CAAGGAAUUUUGCACAAUGGGCGAAAGCCUGAUGCAGCAACGCCGCGUGGGGGAUGAAGGCCUUCGGGUUGUAAACCCCUUUUGCGAGGAAAGAAAAUCUGACGGUACCUCGCGAAUAAGCCACGGCUAACUACGUGCCAGCAGCCGCGGUAAUACGUAGGUGGCAAGCGUUGUCCGGAUUUAUUGGGCGUAAAGCGCGCGCAGGCGGACUGAUUAGUCCGGGGUGAAAUCUCACGGCUCAACCGUGAGCGGUCCCCGGAUACUGUCAGUCUUGAGGGGUCUAGAGGAGAGCGGAAUUCCCGGUGUAGUGGUGGAAUGCGUAGAUAUCGGGAAGAACACCAGUGGCGAAGGCGGCUCACUGGACGACUGUUGACGCUGAGGUGCGAAAGCGUGGGGAGCAAA
rnacentral:rRNA from 1 species